AACGAACGCUGGCGGCAGGCUUAACACAUGCAAGUCGAGCGCCCCGCAAGGGGAGCGGCAGACGGGUGAGUAACGCGUGGGAAUCUACCCAACCCUACGGAAUAACGCAUGGAAACGUGUGCUAAUACCGUAUACGCCCUUUUGGGGAAAGAUUUAUCGGGGAUGGAUGAGCCCGCGUUGGAUUAGCUAGUUGGUGGGGUAAAGGCCUACCAAGGCGACGAUCCAUAGCUGGUCUGAGAGGAUGAUCAGCCACAUUGGGACUGAGACACGGCCCAAACUCCUACGGGAGGCAGCAGUGGGGAAUAUUGGACAAUGGGCGCAAGCCUGAUCCAGCCAUGCCGCGUGAGUGAUGAAGGCCCUAGGGUUGUAAAGCUCUUUCACCGGAGAAGAUAAUGACGGUAUCCGGAGAAGAAGCCCCGGCUAACUUCGUGCCAGCCGCCGCGGUAAAAC
rnacentral:rRNA from 1 species